rfam:Gossypium hirsutum cultivar TM-1 chromosome 24, whole genome shotgun sequence
UGUUAACAAUUUCAUCCAUUUCAAUGGUUAAAAAUUAACGUGGAUGACAUGAUAACCAGACAGUUAAACGUGGCGUGCUAGUGUACCUUAUUCUAACAUACAAAGACUAAUUUUUAAUAGUAGAAAUGAAUGAAAUUUUUAAUA